AUGGCGGAGGAACCGUCCGCCAAGCGUCAUCAUGGCGAGCCGUCGGACAAGAACAACAACCUCGUCGACAUUCACGUCCCCGGUGAGAAGCGCGAGUACACGAGAACCCUCACAAGGGUUGAGCUCCAUGGCAAGGAGACGCUGGAGAUCGUCUGCACCAGCAAACCAGACAAGGCCGACGAGGUGAUGAUCAAUGUGUGUCUCCCCCCUUGCGGGCCCAAGCGCCUCAAAUAG
rnacentral:rRNA from 1 species